GGCGAUUCUCAGGUGACACACCCUGGAAGUGGGCUCCCUCCUCUCUGGUUUCGGGUGUGUCACCUGAGAACCUCA
rfam:Myotis brandtii contig277550, whole genome shotgun sequence.